rnacentral:misc_RNA from 1 species
GGGAAGUCAAAUUUGCUAAACACCAAGGCAAUGUACCAUUGAGAUCGUUAUAACCAAUAUCUAGAACUUGAAGAUGUUCCAACUUGCAUAUGCCUUGAAACAAAGUGCCUCUGAGUCCACUACCAUACAAUGAUAAAGUCUUAAGAGAGGUCAUAUUUGAUAUAAUUUGCAGGAAGUUGUUGCUGGUAGUAGAAUAAGUCAUGUACAAGUGUUCCAGCUUCUUGAAAUUGGGCAAGCCUUGAGCAGAUAUCAUUGAUUUGA